UACGUAGGUGGCGAACGUUGUCCGGAUUCACUGGGCGUAAAGCGCGCGCAGGCGGACUGAUUAGUCAGAGGUAAAAUCUCCCGGCUCAACUGGGAGCGGCCCUUUGAUACUGUCAGUCUUGAGGCACCUAGAGGAGAGUGGAAUUCCCGGUGUAGUGGUGGAAUGCGUAGAUAUCGGGAGGAACACCAGUGGCGAAAGCGACUCUCUGGGGGUGACCUGACGCUGAGGCGCGAAAGCGUGGGGAGCAAACGGG
rnacentral:rRNA from 1 species